rnacentral:rRNA from 1 species
AGGGCAAGUCUGGUGCCAGCAGCCGCGGUAAUUCCAGCUCCAAUAGCGUAUAUUAAAGUUGUUGCAGUUAAAAAGCUCGUAGUUGAAUUUCGGGAUCAAUCUAUCGGUCGUGCAAUAGUACGUACUGAUUUUAUUGAUUCCUCCCUUCUGAUGAACUAUGAUGUCAUUAAUUUGGUGUCAUAGGGAAUCAGGACUGUUACUUUGAAAAAAUUAGAGUGUUUAAAGCAGGCUCACGCUUGAAUACAUUAGCAUGGAAUAACGAAAUAGGACGUUUGAUUCUAUUUUGUUGGUUUCUAGGAUCGANGUAAUGAUUAAUAGGGAUAGUUGGGGGCAUUAGUAUUCAAUUGUCAGAGGUGAAAUUCUUGGAUUUAUUGAAGACUAACUACUGCGAAAGCAUUUGCCAAGGAUGUUUUCAUUAAUCAAGAACGAAAGUUAGGGGAUCGAAGACGAUCAGAUACCGUCGUAGUCUUAACCAUAAACUAUGCCGACUAGGGAUCGGAUGAUGUUAAAUUAAUGACUCAUUCGGCGCCUUACGGGAA